AUUGAAGGCUGGCAGCACCGGCCUUCAACACAUGCAAGUCGAGCUUAUGAAGGCAGCUUGCCUUGGAUUCAGCGGCGGACGCCUGAGUAAUGCCUAGGAAUCUGCCUGGUAGUGGGCCAUAACGUCCGGAAACGGGGGCUAAUACCGCAUACGUCCUGAGGGAGAAAGUCGGGGAUCUUCGGACCUCACGCUAUCAGAUGAGCCUAGGUCGGAUUAGCUAGUUGGUGGCCUAAUGGCCUACCAAGGCGACGAUCCGUAACUGGUCUGAGAGGAUGAUCAGUCACACUGGAACUGAGACACGGUCCAGACUCCUACCGGAGGCAGCAGUGGCCAAUAUUGGACAAUGGGCCCAAGCCUGAUCCAGCCAUUGCCGCGUGUGUGAAGAAGGUCUUCGGAUUGUAAAGCACUUUAAGUUGGGAGGAAGGGCAGUAAGUUAAUACCAAGCUGUUUGACGUUACCAACAGAAUAAGCACCGGCUAACUUCGUGCCAGCAGCCGCGGUAAUACGAAGGGUGCAAGCGUUAAUCGGAAUUACUGGGCGUAAAGCGCGCGUAAGUGGUUCAGCAAGCUUGAUGUGAAAUGGCCGGGCUCAACCUGGGAACUGCAUCCAAAAGCUACUGAGCUAGAGUACGGUAGAGGUCCUAGAAUUUCCUGUGUAGCGGUGAAAUGCGUAGAUAUAGGAAGGAACACCAGUGGCGAAGGCGACCACCUGGACUGUACUGACACUGAGGUGCGAAAGCGUGGCCAGCAAACAGGAUUAGAUACCCUGGUAGUCCACGCCGUAAACGAUGUCGACUAGCCGGUUGGGAUCCUUGAGAUCUUAGUGGCGCACGUAACGCGAUAAGUCGACCGCCUGGGGAGUACGGCCGCAAGGUUAAAACUCAAAUGAAUUGACCGGGGCCGGGACAAGCGGUGGAGCAUGUGGUUUAAUUCGAAGCAACGCGAAGAACCUUACCUGGCCUUGACAUGCUGAGAACUUUCCAGAGAUGGAUUGGUGCCUUCGGGAACAGAGACACAGGUGCUGGCAUGGCUGUCGUCAGCUCGUGUCGUGAGAUGUUGGGUUAAGUCCGGUAACGAGCGCAACCCUUGUCCUUAGUUACCAGCACCUCGGGUGGGCACUCUAAGGAGACUGCCGGUGACAAACCGGAGGAAGGUGGGGAUGACGUCAAGUCAUCAUGGCCCUUACGGCCAGGGCUACACACGUGCUACAAUGGUCGGUACAAAGGGUUGCCAAGCCGCGAGUGGGAGCUAAUCCCAUAAAACCGAUCGUAGUCCGGAUCGCAGUCUGCAACUCGACUGCGUGAAGUCGGAAUCGCUAGUAAUCGUGAAUCAGAAUGUCACGGUGAAUACGUGGCCGGGCCUUGUACACACCGCCCGUCACACCAUGGGAGUGGGUUGCUCCAGAAGUAGCUAGUCUAACCGCAAGGGCCACGGUUACCACGGAGUGAUUCAUGACUGGGGUGAAGUCGUAACA
rnacentral:rRNA from 1 species